CUUCACUACCGUAUAGGCAGCUUAGAAA
rnacentral:other from 1 species